GAAAUGCGAUAAGUAGUGUGAAUUGCAGAAUUCAGUGAAUCAUCGAAUCUUUGAACGCACAUUGCGCCCUUUGGUAUUCCUUAGGGCAUGCCUGUUCGAGCGUCAUCUAAACCUUCAAGCCCUGCUUGGUGUUGGGUGCCUGUCCCGCCUCCGCGCGCGGACUCACCUCAAAUCCAUUGGCGGCCCCCGCGUCGGCCACGAGCGCAGCAGAAACGCGAACUCGUGAGCCCGUCCGGGCGGCUCCCAGAAGUUACACCCACCCAGUUUGACCUCGGAUCAGGUAGGGAUACCCGCUGAACUUAAGC
rnacentral:misc_RNA from 1 species